UACGUAGGGUCCGAGCGUUGUCCGGAAUUAUUGGGCGUAAAGGGCUCGUAGGCGGUCUUUUAAGUCGGGGGUGAAAUCCUGGAGCUCAACUCCAGAACUGCCUUCGAUACUGAAAGACUUGAGUCCGGAAGAGGUGAGUGGAACUGCGAGUGUAGAGGUGAAAUUCGUAGAUAUUCGCAAGAACACCAGUGGCGAAGGCGGCUCACUGGCCCGGUACUGACGCUGAGGUGCGAAAGCGUGGGGAGCAAACAGG
rnacentral:rRNA from 1 species